AAGUGGCGCACGGGUGAGUAACACGUGAAUUAUCUACCUCCGAGUGGGGAAUAACUGAGAGAAAUCUUAGCUAAUACCGCAUAACACUUACGAGUCAAAGCAGCAAUGCGCUUGGAGAGGAGUUCGCGGCCGAUUAGUUAGUUGGCGGGGUAAUGGCCCACCAAGACGAUGAUCGGUAUCCGGCCUGAGAGGGCGCACGGACACACUGGAACUGAAACACGGUCCAGACUCCUACGGGAGGCAGCAGUGGGGAAUUUUGCGCAAUGGGGGAAACCCUGACGCAGCAACGCCGCGUGGAGGAUGAAAUCCCUUGGGAUGUAAACUCCUUUCGAUAGGGAAGAUAAUGACGGUACCUAUAGAAGAAGCCCCGGCUAACUUCGUGCCAGCAGCCGCGGUAAUACGAGGGGGGCAAGCGUUGUUCGGAAUUAUUGGGCGUAAAGGGUGCGUAGGCGGUUUGGCAAGUCUUAUGUGAAAUCUUCGGGCUCAACCCGAAGCCUGCACGAGAAACUGCCGGGCUUGAGUAUGGGAGAGGUGAGUGGAAUUUCCGGUGUAGCGGUGAAAUGCGUAGAUAUCGGAAGGAACACCUGUGGCGAAAGCGGCUCACUGGACCAUAAC
rnacentral:rRNA from 1 species